rnacentral:rRNA from 1 species
AUUGAACGCUGGCGGCAGGCCUAACACAUGCAAGUCGAGCGGAUGAAGGGAGCUUGCUCCUGGAUUCAGCGGCGGACGGGUGAGUAAUGCCUAGGAAUCUGCCUGGUAGUGGGGGAUAACGUCCGGAAACGGGCGCUAAUACCGCAUACGUCUUGAGGGAGAAAGUGGGGGAUCUUCGGACCUCACGCUAUCAGAUGAGCCUAGGUCGGAUUGGCUAGUUGGUGGGGUAAAGGCCUACCAAGGCGACGAUCCGUAACUGGUCUGAGAGGAUGAGCAGUCACACUGGAACUGAGACACGGUCCAGACUCCUACGGGAGGCAGCAGUGGGGAAUAUUGGACAAUGGGCGAAAGCCUGAUCCAGCCAUGCCGCGUGUGUGAAGAAGGUCUUCGGAUUGUAAAGCACUUUAAGUGGGGAGGAAGGGCAGUAAGUUAAUACCUUGCUGUAUUGACGUUACCAACAGAAGAAGCACCGGCUAACUUCGUG